GAUGAACGCUGGCGGCGUGCCUAAUACAUGCAAGUAGAACGCUGAAGGAAGGAGCUUGCUCUUUCCGGAUGAGUUGCGAACAGGUGAGUAACGCGUAGGUAACCUGCCUGGUAGCGGGGGAUAACUAUUGGAAACGAUAGCUAAUACCGCAUAACAGUAGAUAUUGCAUGAUAUCUGCUUGAAAGGGGCAAUUGCUCCACUACCAGAUGGACCUGCGUUGUAUUAGCUAGUUGGUGAGGUAACGGCUCACCAAGGCGACGAUACAUAGCCGACCUGAGAGGGUGAUCGGCCACACUGGGACUGAGACACGGCCCAGACUCCUACGGGAGGCAGCAGUAGGGAAUCUUCGGCAAUGGACGGAAGUCUGACCGAGCAACGCCGCGUGAGUGAAGAAGGGUGUCGGAUCGUAAAGCUCUGUUGUAAGAGAAGAACGAGUGUGAGAGUGGAAAGUUCACACUGUGACGGUAUCUUACCAGAAAGGGACGGCUAACUACGUG
rnacentral:rRNA from 1 species